GCGCCGGUGAGAGCGGAGCGGAACGCGAAGCGGGGCUGGCGACAGGACCUAGACAAGAGAAUAGUUUAGAAGCCAGUCUUGAGGGACUCGUCAAUAAAAUGAUGAAUCCGGUUAACUGGGUUCGGGAAAACUUACGAACUUGGAAGUCUUGCCUAAUGGGUGAGAUUUCAAAUUAAGAGUUCAACCAAAAUGGAGAGUUUGAUCCUGGCUCAGGAUGAACGCUGGCGGCGUGCUUAACACAUGCAAGUCGAACGGGCUCUUCGGAGCUAGUGGCGGACGGGUGAGUAACGCGUGAGAAUCUGCCUACAGGACGGGGACAACAGUUGGAAACGACUGCUAAUACCCGAUGUGCCGAGAGGUGAAACAUUUAUGGCCUGUAGAUGAGCUCGCGUCUGAUUAGCUAGUUGGUGGGGUAAGGGCCUACCAAGGCGACGAUCAGUAGCUGGUCUGAGAGGAUGAUCAGCCACACUGGGACUGAGACACGGCCCAGACUCCUACGGGAGGCAGCAGUGGGGAAUUUUCCGCAAUGGGCGCAAGCGACGGAGCAACGCCGCGUGGGGGAGGAAGGUUUUUGGACUGUAAACCCCUUUUCUCAGGGAAGAAGAAAGUGACGGUACCUGAGGAAUAAGCCUCGGCUAAUUCCGUGCCAGCAGCCGCGGUAAUACGGGAGAGGCAAGCGUUAUCCGGAAUUAUUGGGCGUAAAGCGCCUGCAGGCGGUUAAUCAAGUCUGUUGUCAAAGCGUGGGGCUCAACCUCAUACAGGCAAUGGAAACUGAUUGACUAGAGUAUGGUAGGGGUAGCGGGAAUUCCAGGUGUAGCGGUGAAAUGCGUAGAUAUCUGGAAGAACACCAGCGGCGAAAGCGCGCUACUGGGCCAUAACUGACGCUCAUGGACGAAAGCUAGGGGAGCGAAAGGGAUUAGAUACCCCUGUAGUCCUAGCCGUAAACGAUGAACACUAGGUGUUGCGUGAAUCGACCCGCGCAGUGCCGUAGCCAACGCGUUAAGUGUUCCGCCUGGGGAGUACGCACGCAAGUUGGAAACUCAAAGGAAUUGACGGGGGCCCGCACAAGCGGUGGAGUAUGUGGUUUAAUUCGAUGCAACGCGAAGAACCUUACCAGGGUUUGACAUCCCCCGAAUCUCUUGGAAACGAGAGAGUGCCUUCGGGAGCGGGGAGACAGGUGGUGCAUGGCUGUCGUCAGCUCGUGUCGUGAGAUGUUGGGUUAAGUCCCGCAACGAGCGCAACCCACGUUUUUAGUUGCCAUCAUUCAGUUGGGCACUCUAGAGAAACUGCCGGUGACAAACCGGAGGAAGGUGUGGACGACGUCAAGUCAUCAUGCCCCUUACAUCCUGGGCUACACACGUACUACAAUGCUCCGGACAGCGAGACGCGAAGCCGCGAGGUGAAGCAAAUCUCCCAAACCGGGGCUCAGUUCAGAUUGCAGGCUGCAACUCGCCUGCAUGAAGGCGGAAUCGCUAGUAAUCGCAGGUCAGCAUACUGCGGUGAAUACGUUCCCGGGCCUUGUACACACCGCCCGUCACACCAUGGAAGUUGGCCAUGCCCGAAGUCGUUACCCUAACCGUUCGCGGAGGGGGGCGCCGAAGGUAGGGCUGAUGACUGGGGUGAAGUCGUAACAAGGUAGCCGUACCGGAAGGUGUGGCUGGAUCACCUCCUUU
rnacentral:rRNA from 1 species